AGUGAACGCUGGCGGUAGGCCUAACACAUGCAAGUCGAACGGCAGCACAGUAAGAGCUUGCUCUUACGGGUGGCGAGUGGCGGACGGGUGAGGAAUACAUCGGAAUCUACUUUUUCGUGGGGGAUAACGUAGUGAAACUUACGCUAAUACCGCAUACGACCUACGGGUGAAAGCAGGGGAUCUUCGGACCUUGCGCGAUUGAAUGAGCCGAUGUCGGAUUAGCUAGUUGGCGGGGUAAAGGCCCACCAAGGCGACGAUCCGUAGCUGGUCUGAGAGGAUGAUCAGCCACACUGGAACUGAGACACGGCCCAGACUCCUACGGGAGGCAGCAGUGGGGAAUAUUGGACAAUGGGCGCAAGCCUGAUCCAGCCAUACCGCGUGGGUGAAGAAGGCCUUCGGGUUGUAAAGCCCUUUUGUUGGGAAAGAAAAGCAGCAGGUUAAUACCCCGCUGUUCUGACGGUACCCAAAGAAUAAGCACCGGCUAACUUCGUG
rnacentral:rRNA from 1 species